rnacentral:rRNA from 1 species
AUUGAACGCUGGCGGCAGGCCUAACACAUGCAAGUCGAACGAGUGGCGGAAGGGUGAGUAAUGUCUGGGAAACUGCCCGAUGGAGGGGGAUAACUACUGGAAACGGUAGCUAAUACCGCAUACCAUCGGAUGUGCCCAGAUGGGAUUAGGUAGUAGGUGGGGUAACGGCUCACCUCGGCGACUAUCCCUAGCUGGUCGGAGAGGAUGACCAGCCACACUGGAACUGAUGCACGGUCCAGCUUCCUACGGGAGGCAGCAGUGGGGAAUAUUGCACAAUGGGCGCAAGCCUGAUGCAGCCAUGCCGCGUGUAUGAAGAAGGCCUUCGGGUUGUAAAGUACUUUCAGCGAGGAGGCGUUACUCGCAGAAGAAGCACCGGCUAACUCCGUGCCAGCCGCCGCGGUAAUUC